CAGAUUAUAUUCUUUGGUCUACUUCCAUUGCAUUCAAAAGAGCUCCAGAGCAGCUGGGAGGCACGCUGUGACCUGAUCAGGAGUGUGUCAUCAGCACUGAGGAUACACGUUGUAAUUUGUCUCAUCAUUGGAUGUCCACUUUGAACCUUUCACGGCCAUCUGACACCCUUUUUAAUUUGUAAGGUGCAGUGUGUAGGAUUUGGUGGCAUCUAACGGUGAGGAUGCUCUGUGAAAAGGACCCGCUCCCUAUGUAGAUAUAAACAACAAGAACAAAACAACAAUUCUUAUUUUCAGGGUGAAGGGUUGUCACUUACUGGUGGUGAGUGUCCCAAGACUCAUAACAGGAUGUUUAUCUACGUCAUCGCAUCAGCAAACACACACACAAAGGCAAGAAUAUAAUGCAAACAAGUGA